UGGGGAAUUUUGGACAAUGGGCGCAAGCCUGAUCCAGCCAUGCCGCGUGAGUGACGAAGGUCUUCGGAUUGUAAAACUCUUUUGGCGGGGACGAUAAUGACGGUACCCGCAGAAUAAGCCCCGGCUAACUUCGUGCCAGCAGCCGCGGUAAUACGAAGGGGGCUAGCGUUGUUCGGAAUCACUGGGCGUAAAGCGCACGUAGGCGGAUGUGCCAGUCAGGGGUGAAAUCCCGGAGCUCAACUCCGGAACUGCCUCUGAUACUGCACGUCUUGAGUUCGAGAGAGGUGUGUGGAAUUCCUAGUGUAGAGGUGAAAUUCGUAGAUAUUAGGAAGAACACCGGUGGCGAAGGCGGCCCACUGGCUCGAUACUGACGCUGAGGUGCGAAAGCGUGGGGAGCAAACAGGAUUAGAUACCCAAGUAGUCCCUGAGCGGGCUGGCAAGGCGCAU
rnacentral:rRNA from 1 species